AGUUUCUGUUUUGAGGUGCUUUUGUUUUGCAGUCUAGUAUUGUGUAAUCGGUUUAUUGCACCGUUAAUAGAUGAUUUUGAAGCGUUGGGAGAUGUGAAAGCGCACGACUCUCUGUAAUGUAUUUACUUUAGUAUAUAUAUAUAUACACUAGGGCUGAAACAAUUACUCGACAUUAUCGACAACGUCGACGAUAAAAAUAAAAUUGUCAGCAAAUGUUUUUGAGUAACGUUAGUGGUUUGAUCUCGUAUCUGCCUGAUUUGAAAGCCUGCAUUAAUGCAGUUUGACCAGUGUGGCGCUGUAGCGCAAGAUUGUAAUACACUCUCCUGAUUCAAUUAAAAAGAAGAAGAUAGCACUUCAGUUUGAGGCAAACCGACCCGAUCCGAACCUUGGAUGAAUAUGUUUGUGCAGAAUUUGAGACAUCCAGAAUUACCAUAGGCCCAUUAGAAUCAACAAUCUUUGCCAAACUUGAUUCGGACUGCAAAAUUUACGAAGAUGUUUUCAUACUGAAGAAGAGACCUUGGACAAAUACUGAAACCCUCUUGGUGCCCACUACACAGGCAGGGGUGUCCAGACCUGCUCUAGGAAAGCCAGUGUUCUGUGGGGUUCAGCUCUAACACACCUGCCUGGAACUUCAGACUAAUGAAAUUGAAGUAUCCAAAUGAAGACCCUAGCAGUAUGGAGUAUAUGGAUACAGACGUUGCCAGCAGUCAGGAGGUGAUCCAGAAGACUCAUGGGAAUCUAUUUGAAGCUGCAUCAUUGAAGACAGUCCAGCAGAAGUUGGAGUUUUAAAGGAUAAAGUUCUUCAGGACCUAUAGCAGUUUACAGUCUGUAAAACCAUGUUACUGGGACUGAUUUAUGGACUGAACUUGAGCAACCCUCCUGAACUCAGGUACACAUUUGGAAUACUGAAGAAGUUAUUUCUGGAGCCACUUCCUGUUCCUGGAAUAAGGUUUGAUUGGUUGCCCAUGAAUGCCAAUUAGAAUUGUAUUUGCUAUUUUGUGUAAUUUUGUAAUGUGGUUUAAACUGUAUUUUACUGUGUGUAAUUAUUUAUUGCUUGUUUAACAAAUACACUUUGAUCAUUUGUGA